GACGAACGCUGGCGGCGUGCUUAACACAUGCAAGUCGAACGGAAAGGCCCUGCUUUCGUGGGGUGCUCGAGUGGCGAACGGGUGAGUAACACGUGAGUAGCCUGCCCUUGACUUUGGGAUAACUUCAGGAAACUGGGGCUAAUACCGGAUAGGAGCUCCUGCUGCAUGGUGGGGGUUGGAAAGUUUCGGCGGUUGGGGAUGGACUCGCGGCUUAUCAGCUUGUUGGUGGGGUCGUGGCUUACCAAGGCUUUGACGGGUAGCCGGCCUGAGAGGGUGACCGGCCACAUUGGGACUGAGAUACGGCCCAGACUCCUACGGGGGGCAGCAGUGGGGGAUAUUGCACAAUGGGCGGAAGCCUGAUGCAGCAACGCCGCGUGCGGGAUGACGGCCUUCGGGUUGUAAACCGCUUUCGCCUGUGACGAAGCGUGAGUGACGGUAAUGGGUAAAGAAGCACCGGCUAACUACGUG
rnacentral:rRNA from 1 species